rnacentral:rRNA from 1 species
CACGUAGGGGGCAAGCGUUGUCCGGAUUUAUUGGGCGUAAAGAGCUCGUAGGCGGUUUCGUAAGUCGGGUGUGAAAACUCUAGGUUCAACCUAGAGACGCCACCCGAUACUGCGAUGACUAGAGUCCGGUAGGGGAGUGUGGAAUUCCUGGUGUAGCGGUGAAAUGCGCAGAUAUCAGGAGGAACACCAACGGCGAAGGCAGCACUCUGGGCCGGAACUGACGCUGAGGAGCGAAAGCAUGGGGAGCGAACAGG